GGGACCAGCCAGUGCUGGACUUCGACAGGGUGGACGCCCUCGUGCAGCAGCUCAAGGGGUGUAGCUCCAGUGUUGGUGCUAACAAAGUGAGCGUCUCAUGCAUGCACUUCCGUCGGUUCAAUCAUGCAAAAACCAAAGAAGGGUACCUCAUGGCAUUGGCUCCUGUUAUGAAUGAGUUCUAUGAUGUGCGGAACAUGUUCCUGACCAUACUGCAGGUAGUCCCUUAUUUCCCUAUGUUUCCUAUUUUAC